rnacentral:rRNA from 1 species
AUACAUAGGGGGCAAGCGUUAUCCGGAAUUAUUGGGCGUAAAGCGUGCGUAGGCGGUUUAUUAAGUCUGAUGUUAAAUCCCACAGCUCAACUGUGGGCUGCCAUUGGAAACUGGUAGACUUGAGUGCGGUAGAGGUAAGUGGAAUUCCAAGUGGAGCGGUGGAAUGCGUAGAUAUUUGGAGGAAUACCAGUGGCGAAGGCGGCUUCCAGCCCAGUAACGGCAGUUGAGUCACAAACGCUCGGGGAAGAAAAUGUAUAAGACUCUCUGGUGGUUCACGCCGGAAACUAAGAGCACUAAGUAUCGGAUGGAUUUUCGGCGCUGCAGGUACCACAAAAAGUGCCCACCCUUGGGAGUACCGUCUUAAGACGGAUACUCAAAGGAUUUGACGGGG